rnacentral:rRNA from 1 species
CGCCUCUUGACUACAUAUAAGAGGUCCAGCCUGCCCAGUGACCCUGUUCAACGGCCGCGGUAUCCUAACCGUGCGAAGGUAGCGUAAUCACUUGUUCUUUAAAUGAGGACUAGUAUGAAUGGCAUCACGAAGGUUAUACUGUCUCCUUUUUCCAAUCAGUGAACCUAAUCUCCCCGUGAAGAAGCGGGAAUAUAAAUAUAAGACGAGAAGACCCUAUGGAGCUUAAGACAAUACAGCACUUACUAUAAAAUAUAAAAAUUUCAGAAUCUCUUACUUCUCAAGUAACAUGACUGUAAGUUUUCGGUUGGGGUGACCACGGAGCAUAAUAUAACCUCCAUGUUGAAAGAAUCCUAUUCUAAGCCAAAAAUUACAUUUUUAAGCAUCAACAAAUUGACAUUUAUUGACCCAAUAUAUUUGAACAACGAACCAAGUUACCCUAGGGAUAACAGCGCAAUCCACUUCAAGAGCUCCUAUCGACAAGUGGGUUUACGACCUCGAUGUUGGAUCAGGGUUUCCCAGUGGUGCAGCCGCUACUAAAGGUUCGUUUGUUCAACGAUUAAAACCCU